ACCACCUAUCGGGUAGCCAACUACAUUUUCUGUAAAUCGGUUAUUAAGUCAAAGUUAUAUGAUAUAUAAAAAACUGGGCGUUAUUACUCAGCAAUAAUAUAUAAUGCUGCUCAUUUGCGUUAAUCGUCAGUAUCCGACGAUAUAUUUACUGUAAUUCGGUAUAAUUUGGAAAUUUGGAAAUGGAAAAAAAUUUAUGAAAUCUUAAAAAAAAACAAUUAUUUGUACGUCAUUGGCUUCACUUGACAUUCUAAAUUGAAAUGUUUGCAUUCUUUCUAUUAGAAACAUUAUUUGAAUUCACAUUGGCUUGGGAAAUAUUGAACGAUUGGUCAAAUGAGGAUGAAAAUAGUGAGACUACCAGCCGGUGUCCAGAAGAAUGCACAAGCACAAGACCCACCUAAAUUUUUUAUUGGAGAUUGUAAUAAUGCCAUUAGAAUCAAGAUAAAUAUGUAUAAUAAAUUGAAAUUGCGCUUUUCAAGCUGUUGUUAAAAAAA